UUUCUGUGUGAAAAACUCCGGUGGUAUAAGAUGGACCCGCGUCUGAUUAGCCAGUUGGCGGUGUAACGGACCACCAAAGCGACGAUCAGUAGCCGGCCUGAGAGGGCAAACGGCCACAUUGGGACUGAGACACGGCCCAAACUCCUACGGGAGGCAGCAGUGGGGAAUAUUGCACAAUGGAGGAAACUCUGAUGCAGCGACGCCGCGUGAGUGAAGAAGUAUUUCGGUAUGUAAAGCUCUAUCAGCAGGAAAGAAAAUGACGGUACCUGACUAAGAAGCCCCGGCUAACUACGUGCCAGCAGCCGCGGUAAUACGUAGGGGCAAGCGUUAUCCGGAUUUACUGGGUGUAAAGGGAGCGUAGACGGUUAUGCAAGUCUGAAGUGAAAGCUCGGGGCUCAACCCCGGAACUGCUUUGGAAACUGUAAAACUGGAGUGCAGGAGAGGUAAGCGGAAUUCCUAGUGUAGCGGUGAAAUGCGUAGAUAUUAGGAGGAACACCAGAGGCGAAGGCGGCUUACUGGACUGUAACUGACGUUGAGGCUCGAAGGCGUGGGGAGCAAACAGGAUUAGAUACCCUGGUAG
rnacentral:rRNA from 1 species